GAUUUCAACUUAAAAAGUUAUCAAUAACAAAGUGUCAUAACUUAUCAAGAUCUAUAACUUUUAUUUUGGUUAUUUUUUCAUCCGACAAAAUGAUUUGUAAGAUUGUUCACAAAAUGCACAUAUCUCUCUUAUAAAGUUUUAUAAACUAUAUAAGAGAUAUGCAAAUUUUGUGAAAAUGUUACUAUCACUUUGUCUGAUGAAGAAAUGACCAAAAAAUAAGUUAUAGAUCUUGAUAAGUUAUACAACUUUGUUGUUGAUGACUUUUUCAGCUGAAAUC
rnacentral:pre_miRNA from 2 species